AAGGAUGGGCCCUUGCUGCAGAGCUGGGAUCUACCACAGAACACUAAUGGCCUGGUGAGUUGAUGCUCUGGGGCUGAACCCUGAUAGCCUGCAGGAAAGUAUCAUUGCUUCAUAGGGAGAUGGUCAGAGGAGGCCUGGUUUGCCCCAUUGCUUUUGUACGCUGUUCCAUAUAGAAGAGGUCAUGCUGGUUGUCUCAUGUGCUGAGAAGCAUGGACAUGUUCUUCGAAGCCAUAAGAUCUCAGCCUUGCAGCAUUGCUGUUGCAUUCAUCCUUUUGCCUUUGAGAAGACAGCGUUGUGGUCCCCCAUCUGGUAUUUCUUCCAAGGGCUACUUUGAUGCAAAGGGAGGCAAAUUCACCCUUGCAAAUGCUGACUGCCAGCCCCUGAGGGCCCACACGGAGCUGUGGAGAACCUGCAUGGCUAAGGGAGACCUGCAGCCAGAGCUGAGCAAAGUCCAGGUGAAGAAUCACAUCUUGCCUAGCACAGAGCUCGAAGCUGGGCAGCAAAGUGCUCAAACAGUAAGUGCUCCCUGAUGCUUCAGUGGCCGGGUAUCACUUGUCUUCUCCAAACCCGGUGUGCCAUGUGUCAUCCCCACUUGAGGCUUCCUUGGCUGGCAGAAAUGCAGCAGAGCAUCUCUCUGCUGGUGUGUGGUGCUCCAGGGCUCAAGCAUGGGCUGAUAUCAUGGAUCCUGAGCCAUCGACAGGGCAUGAAAAUACACCUGCCCUUAAUCUAAGCAAUGUCUUGAUGUCUGUGGCAUCAUCAGCCAAGGGCUUGUGAGACCUUUGUGAUGGAGAGCAUGGCUCAAGCUAACCCCAUGUGGGGCAGAGGUGCUGUUGCAGGAGGGGACAGGCAGGUCUCUCCCAAACGUGGCUCAUGUGAGCAGCUGCAUUACACCAAGCUUCCUGUAGAAAGAGACCGUUAAGACUAGCAUGAAUAAACCACAUUGCUAUGGCAGCAGACGAAACGGCUCAUGUGCACCCACAGCAUUUUCUAGGUGGGAAAACUGAAGCUUAUUGAGGUUUUUCUUACUGAACAAUUUCUGAACCUCUGACACCGCUUUGUGUAGCAUCUUUUCCCCUCAGAAGCUAAAAGUAGCUCUGUGGGGUUGUACAGGGCCAUCCUGCUCUCCUCCCACAGGGACAGAGCCCUGAAAGGACGGUGAUGGGCUUGCGCUGGAGCUGGCCUUCAGCGAUAGGAAUUCACCGUGUCUGGGGGGCAGAUGAGCUGCUGCACUGUUCAGGGAUGUGUGUUGUCCCUUUGUGAGCCAGUGUUUUGCUUUUCUCCCCAGCGCAAGAAGGAGGUUGAAAUCAUUCUGAAAAGGCACCUGAAAUGUUCUACAGGUGAUUGAGAGGGGUCAGUGUCCACAUGCUGCCACGUGUUGGUCUGUGUUAGUGUGUACUGGGGAUGCAGGCAGUUACAGACAGGAGAGUUGGCCAAGAAUUACAUUUAAUUAUUUUUUUUAAGGAUUUUUUAAUCAUAUACAAAAGGAAAUUAAAAAAAAAAAAACACUUUUUCAUUGCUGUGAAUGAAUGACAAUGUGCUUCAUGGUUUCCAUGAAUUAUCCGUCCUGACCCAGCAACAUACUCAGGUACAGACACACCGGCUCAGACUCCUGUGGAGAUGAGGAGGUGCAGUUUGGUUUUAUUAUAUAAAAGGGUUUUUU